rnacentral:lncRNA from 1 species
UAGGAAUCGUUCAAAAACCCAAACGCGUUUUCUAGCAAGUACGUGAGCCGCACAAUUUGCCUCAAACAUAACAAAGGUGGAUUUUAAAGAUGAAAAAAAAGAAGAAAAUUAUUCAAAUUUAUUAGCAAUCAAAGCAGCAUCCUGAGCAUGGAAAGGAGGUAUAUCCAAAUAGUUCGACUGGAUGCAGAAGAUCAUCCACUCAAGUGCUUUGGCAAAUAUGUGAAAAGCAAUGGCCUUCGUUGGGUUGCAAACCGAACGACGCUCUGACGGUGAGCUCCUGAGUUAUGGAAGAAGAUGAAGAUUUGGAUGGGGUUUAUAUGGAGAAGAUGAAGUUUUGGGACUAGGGUUCUUGAGCGAUUUGGAAAAAAAUUGGAGAGGUUUGGAAGUGAUUAAUUGGGGUUCUAAUGUCGGGACUUAUG